rnacentral:rRNA from 1 species
UAGCCACCAGAGUAUUAAAGGUAACGCCUGCCCAGUGAAAACUUUAAACGGCCGCGGUAUCCUAACCGUGCAAAGGUAGCGUAAUAACUUGUCUUUUAAAUAAAGACUAGCAUGAAUGGCUAAAUGAGGACCUAACUGUCUUCUAAGACCAAUCAAUGAACCUGAUCUUUCAGUACAAAAGCUGAAAUUACAACAUAAGACGAGAAGACCCUGCGGAGCUUUAAAAACUCCACUUUUUAAGUUGGGGCGACUACGGAAAUAAAAAAAACCUCCACGACAGGACUAACAACCCAAAAAAGGAACCACACACCAACCAAGCUGACCAACGAACCAAGUUACCCCAGGGGUAACAGCGCCAUCCUCUUCAAGAGCCCCUAUCGCCAAGAGGGUUUACGACCUCGAUGUUGGAUCAGGACCCCCUAGUGGCGCAGCCGCUACUAAAGGUUCGUUUGUUCAACGACUAAUGUCCUACGUGAUCUGAGUUCAGACCGGAGCAAUCCAGGUCGU